UGGGGAAUAUUGGACAAUGGGCGAAAGCCUGAUCCAGCCAUGCCGCGUGUGUGAAGAAGGUCUUCGGAUUGUAAAGCACUUUAAGUUGGGAGGAAGGGCAGUUACCUAAUACGUAUCUGUUUUGACGUUACCGACAGAAUAAGCACCGGCUAACUCUGUGCCAGCAGCCGCGGUAAUACAGAGGGUGCAAGCGUUAAUCGGAAUUACUGGGCGUAAAGCGCGCGUAGGUGGUUUGUUAAGUUGGAUGUGAAAUCCCCGGGCUCAACCUGGGAACUGCAUUCAAAACUGACAAGCUAGAGUAUGGUAGAGGUGGUGGAAUUUCCUGUGUAGCGGUGAAAUGCGUAGAUAUAGGAAGGAACACCAGUGGCGAAGGCGACCACCUGGACUGAUACUGACACUGAGGUGCGAAAGCGUGGGGAGCAAACAGGAUUAGAUACCCCAGUAGUCCCUGAGCGGGCUGGCAAGGCGCAU
rnacentral:rRNA from 1 species